rnacentral:tRNA from 1 species
GAGACUUUAGUUUAAAAGGUAGAAUUUAUGACCCUUAAUCAUCAAUAUGUGGGUUCAAAUCCCACAGGUCUUA